UGAGGAAUAUUGGGCAAUGCCCGCAAGGGUGACCCAGCAACGCCGCGUGGAGGAUGAAUGUCGUAAGAUUGUAAACUCCUGUUAGAGGGGAAGAAUAGUACCGGUUGGACCGGUAUAUGACUGUACCCUCAGAGAAAGCCCCGGCUGACUACGUGCCAGCAGCCGCGGUAAUACGUAGGGGGCAAGCGUUGUCCGGAUUUACUGGGUGUAAAGGGCGCGCAGGCGGGAUAAAAAGUCAGUGGUGAAAUCCUACAGCUUAACUGUAGAACUGCCUUGGAUACUUUUAUUCUUGAGUUCGGGAGAGAGAGACGGAAUUCCAGGUGUAGUGGUGAAAUACGUAGAUAUCUGGAAGAACACCAGUUGCGAAGGCGGUCUCUUGGUCCGACACUGACGCUGAGGCGCGAAAGCGUGGGGAGCAAACA
rnacentral:rRNA from 1 species